UACGUAGGGUGCAAGCGUUGUCCGGAAUUAUUGGGCGUAAAGAGCUCGUAGGCGGUCUGUCACGUCGGCUGUGAAAUCCCGAGGCUCAACCUCGGGUCUGCAGUCGAUACGGGCUAGCUAGAGUGCGGUAGGGGAGACUGGAAUUCCUGGUGUAGCGGUGAAAUGCGCAGAUAUCAGGAGGAACACCGGUGGCGAAGGCGGGUCUCUGGGCCACUACUGACGCUGAGAAGCGAAAGCAUGGGGAGCGAACAGG
rnacentral:rRNA from 1 species